ACGUAGGUGGCAAGCGUUGUCCGGAUUUAUUGGGCGUAAAGCGAGCGCAGGCGGUUUUUUAAGUCUGAUGUGAAAGCCUUCGGCUCAACCGAAGAAUGGCAUCGGAAACUGGGAAACUUGAGUGCAGAAGAGGACAGUGGAACUCCAUGUGUAGCGGUGAAAUGCGUAGAUAUAUGGAAGAACACCGGUGGCGAAGGCAGCUGUCUGGUAUGAAACUGACGCUGAUGCACGAAAGUAUGGGUAGCAAACAG
rnacentral:rRNA from 1 species